rnacentral:rRNA from 2 species
GGCGGUUCGCUGCCCGCGACGUUGUGAGAAGUCCACUGAACCUUAUCAUUUAGAGGAAGGAGAAGUCGUAACAAGGUUUCCGUAGGUGAACCUGCGGAAGGAUCAUUG